CAGGCUUGUCUGCGAGAACCCAAAGCCUAAAAUAGAAGGCAGAAACAGGAGUAAUCUUCGUUUGUGUGUACGACUGAGAGCUAGCGCAGUGUCGAUAUGACGAGGGCUUUGCAACUGAUGUCUGCUGCCAUUUUCCUCACUUUGGUGAUCUUGUCUUGCACCACUGAUGCUGAUGCAAAGAUACGUUGUACGCAAGAAAGUCCACGUUGUGACCUAGCUCAAUGCCACCGUAAAUGCCAGGCGGACUUUCCGAAAUCCGUAUCCGUCUGUGUGACUAAUCGCAAUCCUCAGGAGUGCUGCUGCCAAUAUGAUUAGUAAAAGCCGAGGAAGGCUUCCCUCUUGGAUAGAUGAUUAUAAAUAAAAUAUAUUCUUAUGGUUUUGAUAAUGA